GGUGGUUCAGUGGUAGAGCGCUUGUCUUCCAUACAUGAGGCCCUGGGUUCAAUUCCUCAGCACCA
rnacentral:tRNA from 1 species